UGGGGAAUAUUGCACAAUGGAGGGAACUCUGAUGCAGCGACGCCGCGUGAACGAAGAAGGCUUUCGAGUCGUAAAGUUCUUUUAUAUGGGAAGAUAAUGACGGUACCAUAAGAAAAAGCCCCGGCUAACUACGUGCCAGCAGCCGCGGUAAUACGUCGGGGGCUAGCGUUGUACGGAAUCACUGGGCGUAAAGGGUUCGCAGGCGGAAAUGCAAGUCAGGUGUAAAAGGCAGUAGCUUAACUACUGUAAGCAUUUGAAACUGCAUAUCUUGAGAAGAGUAGAGGUAAGUGGAAUUUUUAGUGUAGCGGUGAAAUGCGUAGAUAUUAAAAAGAAUACCGGUGGCGAAGGCGACUUACUGGGCUCAUUCUGACGCUGAGGAACGAAAGCGUGGGUAGCAAACAGG
rnacentral:rRNA from 1 species